CAGAUGUUCCAACUUGUGAUCUACAUCGUUUUCAGCUAGUCUGCUGACCAGCCCAGCCAAUUUCUCAUCCCUACAAGCCCCUAACGAAUCCAUAAACUUAGAAACAUUAGAAACAUUCACAUCUAUCCUCGAGCUCUUUUUGCCAUCUAUUAGGUCCAUUGGGCUUUCCUCAUAUUCCAGGCCCAUGUCAUCCUCAUCUUC
rnacentral:lncRNA from 1 species